GAAGAGGGCAAAGAUGGUGGUCCCAGGACUCCUAAGGUGAAGCUGAGAGAGCCAAUUAGGAUCCAGAGAACGGCUAGGAAGCAGGAUUGACCCAGAUGUGGAAACUAGAUGAACCCCUUCCCCACAAAUACACCAAGGGAAGGUGACAUUUGAAAAGGUGAAAAUCCUAGAAUGGCAGAGGGAAGAAAUCCUCUUUCUGUAAUUCCAGAAGAAGUAAGCGUUUCUAUCCUCGAUGGAACUGACUUAUUUCCCCCAGUUCCACAGUGGGAGCCAUUUUCAAGGAUGCGGCCUUGAGUGAGCAAUGUGUUGCUGAGACCAUCUGGAGUGAAUAUGUGACUGAACCCAGGGAAGGCCUCUGCAUAGACUGUUAAGAUUCUGGCAGGCAGAUGCAGAGAUCCACUUGUCUUACGGCCGCCCAGGACAAGCCUCGUAUAUUACCAAAGGGAUGAAUCUCUAUCCUGUGAAGAGCAUAGCUGCCGAUCAUGCCAAAACUGGAGCCAUCUUAAUGUGAACAACAGCUUUCCUCCCCAUAAUGACCGUGCCAGCCAUUGAGCCACCCAGGAGGAUCUGGGGAGCCCCAAGUCUUCAAAGCAGAAACAAAAGGGAAGACUUGUCCGAGAUUACCUUAGUCAUAAGCAGCUAAUUAUAAUAUUAAUUUGCAUAAUACCCUCCCUUUUAGCAGUGAUUUCAAUGCGAAAACCAAGUGGUAUUAAUGAAAAAAAAAUAGUUUCCAGCUGCCUAAGCCCAGAGGCUAAUCCAGGAAUUGAUGCCCUUGCAACAAUGACCAUAAGAUCUCCUUGUGGGCAGAGCCUCUGAAGGCCUGUUUGGGCAGCUAACCCUUCUUUUGAGCGCUCUUUUUUACCUUCAGUGGUUGAGACUGAGGUCUUAAAACUGCUCCUGCCAAUGACAACCAAAGUUACCUGCCAGAGCAGAAAGAAACAAAAGAAAAGGAAAAUCUUAAAUUAUGCGUUCCCUUCUUUAGAAUGGGCCUGUGGUUGGGGGCUGGCAUGUGGGCAUCAGUGGAAGAAAUUGGAGAAGGUGGAAGUGUUCAUGUGAAAAAAAAUGGUUCAACAAUUUCUUAUAAAGUUAAACCCUAUGACUCAGCAAAUCUACUCCUGGGUAUGUACCUAUGAGAAAUGAAGCAUAUGUUCACCAAAAGACUUGUAAAAGAAUGUUCGGAGCACUUUAUUUUUCAUAGCCUCAAACUGAAAACAAACCGAAUGUCCAUUACCAGGAGGGUGGAAGAACAUACUGUGGAAUAUUUACGUAAUAAACUAAUAAAAUACAGACAUACACAACUUGGAUGAGCUUUGAAAACAUUAUAUUGAGUGAAAGAAUUCAGAUGCAAAAUAAUUCAUACUGUAUGAUUCCAUUUGCGUGAAGCUCCAGAACAUUCAAGGCUAAUCUAUGGUCAUAGAAAUUAGAACAGUGGUUGCCUCUCGGCAGUGGUGGUAGGAUUGACUGGAAGGGGCAUGAGGGAAAUUUAUGUGGUGCUGGAAAAUUUUAUAUAUCUUGACCAGUGUUAUGGUUACAUGGAUAUAUACGUUUGUUGAAACUCAGCAAAUAGACACUUAAAGCCUAUGCAUUUUAUUUUAUGUAAAUUAUCUCAAAUUGGAAAGAGAAAAAAAUUCAAAUUUUUAUAUUGUUCAUGUUCCUAACUGAUUAAUGUGGCAGCAGUUGGCUCAUUAGCAGAUUGUUGCAGUGUGGAAAAAUUUUGUUCUCAACCCAAUGGUUUGUUUAACUGUGCUCACCGGGAACUCUUAAUCCAUCAAAAGGAUUUUAAGAUCCUAAUAAUUAGUUUUAGCACUGCAAGAGGACAGACAGACACAAUUCACCUUUUUGCCAGGAUUGACAGAUGCUAUUUUGAUAAGCACAGGAACCAUCAGUUCAACUAACCAGCCGUUAGACCAAAGUUGAGUUUAGGUGAGUGGAACCUUCUAAUUUGUUGAGAGCUGACAGGCUGACAGUAAUACACAAACUUUUUCUUGACUCUUCUUCUGUACUAUUUCUACAUCUAAAAUGAUGGCAGACUUAAAUGUGUCUCCACUACACUGUGUGUUUUGCUUCUGCAAGUCACGUCUGGUAGGAACUACCCAGGGCGUUCGGUCCCACCUUGAGCAGAUAUGGUCAGCUAGUCAUCCUCUUAGAGGCAUGAGAAUUAAGGAAAUCCAGGAAUACAAAAGUAGAGGUGUCAGCAAGCUCCAGCUGUGUUUAAAUUCCAGGUUUGUGAGUCUGUGAGUCUCUGGAACCUAAGAGGAGACCUGAAGAUACACACUUAUUCUGUGGACAUGACUGUAACACAAGAGUGGUUUCUCUUUAACACUUAAAAAUGUUUCCAUUUCCUUAUUUAAUAUUUGGCUACAUUUGUCACAGAAAUAAAGUUAUAUAUUUGGAAACUGUAUUGGGCUCUGUAAGAUUUGCUAGGUUAUUUUCUUUUCUGUUUAUUUCAUAAAACCAUUCAUUAGUCUGUUCAGGAGUUCCAUUUGGAAUUGCAGGUGUGAGUUGAAAGCCAGACAUAAACUAAAUUACAGCAUAUACAAAAUGGAUGCCUUACAAGUGGAAAAUGCAUAUUUUCAGCUGACCUGCUCUUCAAGUAACAAUAUGUGAGAGCAAAAUAUUUAGUGUAGACUAUGUAAUAGCCAUCUUCUUAUUUUUAUAAAGCUCCAAAAUUGUAAUCAAAGAGCAUGGAUGAGUUUGAGUAGCAGAGAAAGAGGAAAGGAAGGAAAAUUUGAUCUAGAAGGCAGUUCAUUGAGAAAUAGGUGGGAAGCUUGUGGCAUCUCAGAUGAGCUGUCCUUGCUGGGGUAGAUGGGAGGGUGGGGAGG
ensembl:lncRNA